rnacentral:rRNA from 1 species
GAUGAACGCUGGCGGCGUGCUUAACACAUGCAAGUCGAACGGGAAACCUUUUAUUGAAGCUUCGGCAGAUUUAGCUGGUUUCUAGUGGCGGACGGGUGAGUAACGCGUGGGUAACCUGCCUUAUACAGGGGGAUAACAACCAGAAAUGGUUGCUAAUACCGCAUAAGCGCACAGGACCGCAUGGUCCGGUGUGAAAAACUCCGGUGGGAUAAGAUGGACCCGCGUUGGAUUAGCUAGUUGGCAGGGUAACGGCCUACUAAGGCGACGAUCCAUAGCCGGCCGGGGAGGGUGACACGCAACAUUGGGACUGAGACACGGCCCAGACUCCUACGGGAGGCAGCAGUAGGGAAUAUUGCACGAUGGGGGAAACCCUGAUGCAGCGACGCGGCGUGAAGGAAGAAGUAUCUCGGUAUGUAAACUUCUAUCAGCAGGGAAGAUAGUGACGGUACCUGACUAAGAAGCCCCGGCUAACUACGUG